rnacentral:snRNA from 1 species
AGCGUUGCGCAGUGGCAUAUUGUAGCCUCAUGAAGUGUUUAUCCAGGGCAUAUUGCUAGUUGCAAACUUUAACCCAAUACCCGCCUUGACGACUUAAGAAAUAGUCGCUAUGGAAUUUUUUGUCAGUCUCUCAGGAGA